rnacentral:sRNA from 1 species
UGAAAUUUCGGUGUUGUCUACAGUAUUGU